GUCCAGCCCUAGACUGCCAGGAUGGCCCCGGGACCAAUUAUUUCAGAAAGAGGAGAAAAAUUAGGAGGAUGAACUGUAAUUUAGGAUUCUACCCAAGAUCCCAGGGCCAAAAGAGGCCCUGGAGUGAGCUGCAGCUUCAUGGAUGGAGUGAGGGGGAGGUCGGGGAGUGCUGAAAGCAGCAGAGAAGAGAUUUUCCUACUUCAGCAUUUUGCCAGACACCUGUGUGGUGGGGCGUGAGAAGACGAGCUUGGGACCAGGCAGGGCAAGGACGGCCAGCCACUGGCUGCAGGUCCCUAUGUCCUCAGGGAAACCACUUGAGCUUUCUGGAUCUCCUCCCACUGACCACAAGUCGGGGAUUUCAACGGUUCCCUCCAAGGGUCGUGAACAGGAGCCAGUGUCUGUCCACCGUGCACGGGAACAGCCCCUCGUGAGCCGCGCCACCCCCCUGGGAAGUCUGGGCGCUGGGGACGGGCAGGAACCACGGGUGCCUGCCUCCCCCCACCCCCUCCCAAACCCCGGGGGUGGACACAUGUGGAUGGAAGGCCCUCGUGGAGACGACUGCUAUGACUGGUUUGCUGAGUUUGGCUUUUGACCGCGAACCUGCUGACGAGACGCCCAGCCCAGAACCUCCAGACAUGGGCGGCCCUGGGAAGGCCAACUCCCCAGUGCAGAGUCCCCCUGAGGCCGACUGGACCUUUCACAAGUGGACACACGAGCUAUACUACGACAAUGGGAAACAGAACCCCAAACACAAGAAGUGCCGUCGGGGGCCGUGGAGGGUCCAUUCAGGUCGUCACCGCAAAGCCCCUUCACAACUCCCGGGAAAUAAAAUAGAACCUGGGUGAUGAAAUAAGAAUCUGACCUUGUUUCCCCUGUGCUGAGUCUAGUCGGCUGGCUACCCAGGCACCACGUGCAGAAACCUGGUGCCACACACCUCCGACCAGGAAGCCUGGUGCAAAAUUGUGGCCCUACACCUCAGCUCAGGGCCGUGUGUAAGAAGCUCCGCCUCCAACACGCAGUUGACGAUGGACGGGCGGGCCACGUGUGCAGAGAUGCUCCGCCCCCUGUGCAGUGAUCUGCCGUGGGAGCGGAAGCUGCGCCCGCAGUAGUUGAGCACUCCCACCCGCUUGCCUGUGAUUGGAUCCCUACAAACCAGCCCCACCCACGGCCUGACCAGAGAGCACAUGCUAUAGACCCUCCUAUUGGCAGGAGGAGCCUUGUUAGGGCCAGACUGAACCGGGUGGGCAGUGAGACCCAGGUGGAAUGUCAGAAGGGAUUUGGGAAGUUAUCUUCCACAGGAGAGACUAGGAUGUCCCCAAAGGAGCUCAGCCCUGAGAAACCAAGCUGCAUCCAGGGUCAAUGUGGCAAAGUCCUAUAGUCUGAGAACCCUCCAGAAUGGGCUUCUUAGCCAAGGGGGAGGUAGGACCUUGCCCCGCCGCAGCCUGGCGCCGAGAAGUUAAUCUGAAAGCAAACCAAGUCUCAACAGAUAACAACCCAAGAACGAAAGAGCUCUAGCCAUCCAGAAGCCAAACCACAGGGAGAGGAUCUGAGGCCAAAGCCACACCGAGGUCGGAAGGCCAAGGUCUCCCCAAAGAGAAGCAGGACAAGGGCAGACCAGGAGUGAUUCUGAACUCCACAAGCCUGGGACCCACACCUGUGGCUCCUGGUGGAGUCACACUAGAUGCUUCUUAACUGGCGCGCUUAAACCUCUUGCACCUGCAGCGUGGGAUAAAGCAUCCUUGUGGUGACGACAGCACACCUGCUACCCGGCAGACGGGCAAGCAAGAGCUCUGCUGCUCCCACAGAUGACCUCUGUAUCCAGGGAGCACACCUUAUGAGCGUCUUGCCAUCCUGGAAGUGAUUUUAUUGGGAGUAGGAGAAGAUCCCAAAGGUUAAAAAACACAGUCACACCUGCAACAGGGACAUAAAUCUACCAAGAGCUACAUGGAAUCUGUGUUUAGGGGAACAAAGUCUAUCAAACUCAAAGAAGAAUGGUUACUACCCCCCAAAGACAGGACAGCCGUUUCAAAAACGGUGUUGGGAAAAUUGGGUAUUCACCUGCACAAUAGAGAAGUUGGACCCUUACAUUAUACCCUAUACAAAAAAUAACCCAACUGGGUCAAAGACUGAAACUUAAGAACUAAAAGUAUUAAACUUUUAGAAGAAAACAUAGGGAGAAGCUUCAUUACAUUGAAUUUGGCAGUGAUUUCUUGGAUAUGGCAACAGCAACAACAAAAAUAGAUAAAUUGAACUGCAUGAAAAUUAAAAACUUUCUGCAUCAAACGACACUAUCAACAGAAUGAAAGGCAGCUGACAGAAUGGGAGAAAGUAUUUGCAAAUCAUCUGUCAAAGGAUUAAUAUCUAGAAUAUGUAAAGACUUCUACAACUAAAAGACACAAACAAACAAACCUGAUUAAAAAAAAAAUUGAGCAAUGGGCUUGAAGGCCGUUUCUCCAAAGAUAUACAAAUGGCCAGUAAGCACAUAAAAAAUGCUGAGCAUGGUGAGCCAUCAGGGAAGUGCAAGUCAAACCACAGUGAGAUGCCACUUCACACUCCCCAGGACAGCUAUCAUUUUUUAAAAGAGGUGUGUGUAGAACAGAGAAAAGAAAAUGCGGACAAAGAUGUGGGGAAAUUGGAACCCUGGUGCUUUGCUGGCAAGAAUGUAACAUGCAGCCCCUGUGAAAAACACCACAACAGGUCCUAAAGAUACCAAACACAUAAUUACUGGAGUGGAUUGCCAUUCUCUUCUCCCAUGGGAUCUUCCCGACACAGGGAUCAAACCCUGGUCUCCUGCAUUGCACGCAGAUUCUUUACCAUCUGAGCCACCAGGAAAGCCCAUGAUUACCACACAUUCCAGCAAUUCCACUUCUGGUUUAUAUUCAAAAGAAUUGAAAAGAGGGACUCAAAAAGAUAUUUGGACACCCGUGAUCAGGCGGCAUUUCGGUAUUCCCAAUAGCCGAAAGUUAGAAACAACGUAAGUGUCCAUGGAGAGAUGAGUGGAUAAAGAAAAUGUGGUAUAAACAUGCCACAGCAUAG
ensembl:lncRNA